rnacentral:rRNA from 1 species
UGGGGAAUUUUGGACAAUGGGCGAAAGCCUGAUCCAGCAAUGCCGCGUGUGUGAAGAAGGCCUUCGGGUUGUAAAGCACUUUUGUCCGGAAAGAAAUGGCUCUGGUUAAUACCUGGGGUCGAUGACGGUACCGGAAGAAUAAGGACCGGCUAACUACGUGCCAGCAGCCGCGGUAAUACGUAGGGUCCAAGCGUUAAUCGGAAUUACUGGGCGUAAAGCGUGCGCAGGCGGUUGUGCAAGACCGAGGUGAAAUCCCCGAGCUUAACUUGGGAAUUGCAUUGGUGACUGCACGGCUAGAGUGUGUCAGAGGGGGGUAGAAUUCCACGUGUAGCAGUGAAAUGCGUAGAGAUGUGGAGGAAUACCGAUGGCGAAGGCAGCCCCCUGGGAUAACACUGACGCUCAUGCACGAAAGCGUGGGGAGCAAACAGG